AGCAGCCGCGGUAAUUCCAGCUCCAAUAGCGUAUAUUAAAGUUGUUGCAGUUAAAAAGCUCGUAGUUGAAUUUCGGGAUUAGUACGCUGGUCAUGCCUUUGGUAUGUACUGGUGUUACUGAUUCCUACCUUCUGAAGAACCGUUAUGUCAUUCAUUUGGUGUGGCGGGGAAUCAGGACUGUUACUUUGAAAAAUUAGAGUGUUUAAAGCGGGCUCGCGCUUGAAUACAUUAGAAUGGAAUAAUGAAAUAGGACGUUGAUCCUAUUUUGUUGGUUUCUAGGAUUGACGUAAUGAUUAAUAGGGAUAGUUGGGGGCAUUAGUAUUCAAUUGUCAGAGGUGAAAUUCUUGGAUUUAUUGAAGACUAACUACUGCGAAAGCAUUUGCCAAGGAUGUUUUCAUUAAUCAAGAACGAAAGUUAGGGGAUCGAAGACGAUCAGAUACCGUCGUAGUCUUAACCAUAAACUAUGCCGACUAGGGAUCGGAUGAUGUUAAUUUUUAAUGACUCGUUCGGCGCCUUACGG
rnacentral:rRNA from 1 species